UCUAUUAAGGACUGAUGGGGAUUUGGAUUACUUGAGGUUAUGGUUUGAGUUGAAGUUAAGGAAUUAAUAGGUCUGGUGCUUGAACAGUUGUUGAGCUGAAGUUUCUCAGUUAUUGCUGACUUAUGACGAAGACACAUUUAAUUGUUUUCUCCAUGAACAUUUCUUUUGGUUUUCAUUCUACACUCUUGUUUUUGUUUACAUGUUUUUUUGUUUCUCAUAUGGUUUCCUUGUGUCUUGUAGAGUAAAUUAUCGGGCAAUUAUGUAAGAAUAGUUCAAAGUGUGUACUCUGAAUCACGUCAAAGGACUUUAGAUAGAGCUUAUGAUGAAAUUAAAUAUUUAAGUUUUGGCCUUGGAGUUAAUGAUGAACGUAUGGCUGAACAAGCUUUGACCUUUUAUAAAGUUGCUAAUUUUUUUACAUCAGUGCUGGCGUAAGCAACGAUGUAGAAAUCAGAUAUUUCUACAUCGUUGCUAAGGAGAGAAACGAUGUUGAAAGCAUAAGUUAUUACAUCGGUGCUAACGAGAAACGAUGUUGAAAGCGCCGGUUACUACAUCGGUGCUGACUAAAAACGAUGUUGAAAACAGGUUACUACAUCGGUGCUGGUGAGAAACGAUGUUGAAAGUACAGGUUACUACAUCGGUGCUAGCGUAGGCACAAAUGUAAAAAUGAAUGUAAUUCUACAACGGUCAAUUUUGGAACGUUGUUAAAAAUGUAUAGUUUCAACAACGUUACAUACAACAGCGUUUAACCACCGUUGUUGAAUCCCGUUUUUGACCGAUGUUGAAAACUCG